GACGAACGCUGGCGGCGUGCUUAACACAUGCAAGUCGAACGAAGAACCCUAGCUUGCUGUGUGGAUUAAUGGAUAACAGUGGAUUAAGACGUAAUGAAGCUACCUUUAAGUCUAGCAUGACCCUGGGAAACUGACUCUAAUACCAGAUAACAGCUAUCUCCGCAUGACGCGUUGAUGGAGAGCGAUCUGUAUGGCUUAUAUUAUUCGCUCACGGACUAUCACCUUGCUGAUGAGGUAACGGCUCACCUAAGCGACCACCGGUACCCAGACUGAUAGGGUGACCGGACACGCUGACCACUGACAUUCGGACCGAACUCCUACCGAAAGUCCUACUGGAGAAUAUUGCGCAAUGAUACUCGAGCCUGAUGCACCAGACUCCACCCUGACGCAUCACGGUGCUUCGAGAUGGAUUCCUCUGUUGAACACGUAUUAUAAGAGAUUGACAGGUAACUACAGAAACAGCUCCGAGCUACCUACGUGUCCUCACGUCCCGGUAAUACGCUAGGGCACGAACGUUGUCCGGAAUUAUUGGACUUACUGAGCUUGUAGGCGGUUUGUCGCGUCUGCUGUGAAAGGCCGGAGCUCAAUUCCGUGUAUUGCAGUGGGUACGGGCAGACUAGAGUGCAGUAGGGGAGACUGGAAUUCCUGGUGUAGCGGUGGAAUGCGCAGAUAUCAGGAGGAACACCGAUGGCGAAGGCAGGUCUCUGGGCUGUAACUGACGCUGAGAAGCGAAAGCAUGGGGAGCGAACAGGAUUAGAUACCCUGGUAGUCCAUGCCGUAAACGUUGGGCACUAGGUGUGGGGGACAUUCCACGUUUUCCGCGCCGUAGCUAACGCAUUAAGUGCCCCGCCUGGGGAGUACGGCCGCAAGGCUAAAACUCAAAGAAAUUGACGGGGGCCCGCACAAGCGGCGGAGCAUGCGGAUUAAUUCGAUGCAACGCGAAGAACCUUACCAAGGCUUGACAUAUACUGGACCGCAUCAGAGAUGGUGUUUCCCUUCGGGGCUGGUAUACAGGUGGUGCAUGGUUGUCGUCAGCUCGUGUCGUGAGAUGUUGGGUUAAGUCCCGCAACGAGCGCAACCCUCGUUCUAUGUUGCCAGCACGUUAUGGUGGGGACCCAUAGGAGACUGCCGGGGUCAACUCGGAGGAAGGUGGGGAUGACGUCAAAUCAUCAUGCCCCUUAUGUCUGGGCUUCACGCAUGCUACAAUGGCCGGUACAGAGGGUUGCGAUACUGUGAGGUGGAGCUAAUCCCUAAAAACCGGUCUCAGUUCGGAAUGGGGUCUGCAACUCGACCCCAUGAAGUCGGAGUCGCUAGUAAUCGCAGAUCAGCAACGCUGCGGUGAAUACGUUCCCGGGCCU
rnacentral:rRNA from 1 species